CUUCCGUUGCUUGGCUACCUGGCUCGUAGUUUCCGUGCAACCGUCGUACGUACAAGUCUUUGAAAUAUUAUCGUUAUCUCCGUACCUUUCUUCAUCGUUGAGUUCUUCUGGACUAGCAGCGCUAUCCCGCGGGUCAGACGUGUCUAAAAUAUCACUUUCUUCCUCAUCGGCAUCAUCCAUUUCGUAGGAAAACAUGUUGUUAUUGUCCGGGUCUUGCGGCGUGACUACAUUUCUACUGUCGACAACACCGCAGUCGUCAACGUAGUACGUCUGUCCGUCUUUGAACUUCCAGACGACCUCCUGAGGGUGGAAGGCAACGUCUGUUCACCCAUGUACAGGAACUGGCCCGUUGUCAAUCUGGUGUUGGCUAACAAAACCAUCCGCCUACAUCAACUACGAGAGCCAAUCAUCUCAGAUCACACAACGUUCCAUAAUGUUAACCGUGUCAGUAUGUCGACACUCUGCCGCCAUCUUGCAUCAACACCAACUUACGAUGAAGCAGCUGUACAGGGUUCCAUUUGAGAGGAACAGCGUUAGAGUCGAAGUUUUGUAGCUUGUAGUUUUGACUGAAUGUGUCUGACCCAAACCACCCACCCCCCCACCCCCUAUCCUUGUGUGAAAAUGUAAUUGUAGUCCUGUGUUUUGCGUUACACCAUAUUCACGGUACAGUGUUUACAUUUUCUGUUACAGAGAGUCCUGGACCUUGAUGCAGCUGCACAGCGUCAUGAGUUCAUUUUCAUUCAUGAAGCUGGAUUCAAUCUGGCUUAAAACCAGGCGUUGGGGGCCGACGUGCUAUAGGAGAAAGAGCCGUUGUGAAUGUCCCUGGGCAGCGCCGCGGGGGGGGGAAAUAUCACCUUGUGUGACGCCAUUAGUCUGCAAGGAGUUCUCCAUCACCAUGGCACCCUAGGUCCCUACGAUACUGCACACAUAAUCAUAUAUCUGGAUGCACUACAUAAUGCACUAGUACAGGACGGACCAGAGCAGCCCAGGUUUGUCAUCAACUGGGAUAAUGUUAGUUCCCUCUGGGCUGCUCUGGUCAGGGACUGGUUCACCAACCACAAUAACUUCACAGUUGUAUACUUGCCCCUCUUAUACUCCCCAUUUCUCAAUCCGAUUGAGGAAUUAUUUUUGUCUUGGAAAGUGUAUGACCGCCAACCACAUGCCCUACUGCCUCUUUCUGCAAGCAAUGGAAGAGGCAUGCGGAGACAUUGAGGUGGGGGUCAGUCCAGGGUUGGAUACGGCACGUAAGAUGAUAUUUUCCCCGUUGCCAAGCCAGGGAUGACAUUGCUUGUGAUGAGGUAAUGUGGCCAGACUCUAUCAGAAGGCGGGAUCCAUAAACCAUCCACCCCUUCCCUUACAAUACAAUUUUUUUGUUUACUAUUGCACUGUAAUUUUACUGUAGUUAUUUUUUGUUUCCCGUGAGUUUACAGUAACAUAAUGUAUUGAUUACUGUAAUUCUACUUUUCUUUGUGUUUUGUUGUUGUUGUAAAAAAAAACAGCAAUAGCAACAAACAAAAAAAUUAUCUGUAAUAAUUUGUUUCUGAAGCCUUUCUACUUUUUUGUUUAUUGAAAUGUGAGUAGAUGUACUAUAUACUGGAACAAUCUUUCACGGGAGCCUGUAUGAGAAAAUGUCAAAGGUAUACGAAGUACCAAAAGACAGCAGUGUUUUGUAUAAAGUACAUCAAUGUGUUGUUGCUUUGAAAGAGUAAUUCAAAAUGGUGCAUGUGUUAUUAUUAUUUUGUUGCAAAAAAUGCCAUUUUGAAAAAGGA